AGAGGCCGCCACUUUCUUCAGGGCUAUCAGAUGAAGGCAGCAACGAAAACACCACCACAAGACCAACUUCAGGCUGGAGCUGAUGAUGCCACACAGCAAAUCAGCGAGAAAAAAGAAAAUAGACUCUACUUAGAAAUGAAACUCAACUAAAGGUAAAAGUUGUCAGGAACAUCUCCAAGAAAGCCAGAGUCAGCCUCUAAACUUUGCAUCAAGAACGCAAUGGCUUCCCUGAGGGCCCAGGGACGCGUGGCAGCUGUGAGGCAGCCCCUUCUCUGCUGUCGAGGAACUGGACACUUCUCCUGUCCCUUCCCACAAGAUAUAAAAGAUUCAGGACGUAGUGCUCGUGGUUGGGGUCGGGGACAUGGCAAGACAGGAGCGGAAGAGAGAGACGGAGAAGACGCAGGGGAACUGCAUCUGCCUCUGCUGCUCAGGAACAGCGUUGAGACCGGCGCAGGGACCAUGGGUGGGAGAGUCCUGAUGUACUCAAUGGGCUUCCUGGAGCUCCUGCAACCCCAGGCAUUAGUUCCGGUGCAGUUCUAGGAUCAGAUCAAUUCACUCGACAACAAGAGAAACAAAUGGAGAUUCCUACACAAAGACUUUCAAGCACAAAGAAAUCCUGCUGCCUGUAAAGCGGAGCUGCCUCAGCCCUUGAUGAACGACAGAAAAUCUCACAUUCCAGGAAUUCAGAUGAAGUGAAGUGCUCUCAUGGGGACCAGGCAUGGUUAUGCCAGUCCACUGCCCUGCAAGCCUCAAGGGAAGCCAACUGCCCUUCAGCAAGUCACACCUGCCUUGGUGGAGGCCUUGAUUGGAAGUGCCACACGCUACAUGUCCAGUCCUGAGCGGGAGAAUCGGUGUAGGGACGUUCUGGGGAUGCCAGCUGUGGCCAGAUCAGGUCCAACUACAGAAGAAUAAUGAAGACUCCACCUGAGGGCUGGAAAAACAAAACCUCAAGUGUGAGGCAGCCAACCUGUUACCUCGAGGGACUGUUCCGCAGCACAGCGGGGCCAUGGGAACAGCAGCAGACACCCCGACCUCCUCGCUACCUAUCAACUAUGGCCUGAGUAUGAUAGACUUAUCCAUGGUUUAAACAGAAUAUAUUGUUUUCAACUUUGAAAAUAAGAAUAUGGAAAUCCAGAUGCAGAAAUGUGAGAAGAAAAGAGAGUAAACAGAGUGGAAGGUCA
rnacentral:lncRNA from 1 species